AGUGAAUAUUAAACGGCCGCGGUACCCUAACCGUGCAAAGGUAGCGUAAUCAUUUGUCUAUUAAUUGUAGACCCGUAUGAAGGGCAAAAUGAGGGUUUAACUGUCUCUUAUAAUAAAUCAAUUAAACUGAUCUCCUAGUAAAAAAGCUAGAAUAUUCUCAUAAGACCAGAAGACCCUGUGAAGCUUAAACUAAACUAUUAAAUCUCAUAAUAACUACUUUCGGUUGGGGCGACCUUGGAAAAAAAGAGAACUUCCAAACAUAGUGUUUAUAAACCACUCCACGCAGGCCUACAAGCCCACUUAUACUUUAAAACCAGACCCAGUAUAACUGAAAAUUGAACCAAGUUACUCCAGGGAUAACAGCGCCAUCUUCUUCAAGAGCCCAUAUCAAAAAGAAGGUUUACGACCUCGAUGUUGGAUCAGGACAUCCUAA
rnacentral:rRNA from 1 species